UACGUAGGGACCGAGCGUUGUCCGGAAUCAUUGGGCGUAAAGAGCGUGUAGGCGGCUAUUUAAGUCCUGCGUGAAAUCCUGCGGCUCAACCGCAGACGGUCGUGGGAAACUGGAUGGCUAGAGUGCGGGAGAGGAGAGUGGAAUUCCCGGUGUAGCGGUGAAAUGCGCAGAUAUCGGGAAGAACACCCGUGGCGAAGGCGGCUCUCUGGAACGCAACUGACGCUGAGACGCGAAAGCGUGGGGAGCGAACGGG
rnacentral:rRNA from 1 species